rnacentral:rRNA from 1 species
UGGGGAAUAUUGCACAAUGGGCGAAAGCCUGAUGCAGCAACGCCGCGUGAGUGAUGAAGGUCUUCGGAUUGUAAAGCUCUGUCUUUUGGGACGAUAAUGACGGUACCAAAGGAGGAAGCCACGGCUAACUACGUGCCAGCAGCCGCGGUAAUACGUAGGUGGCGAGCGUUGUCCGGAUUUCUGGGCGUAAAGGGUGCGUAGGCGGAUGUUUAAGUGAGAUGUGAAAUACCCGGGCUUAACUUGGGUGCUGCAUUUCAAACUGGAUAUCUAGAGUGCAGGAGAGGAGAAUGGAAUUCCUAGUGUAGCGGUGAAAUGCGUAGAGAUUAGGAAGAACACCAGUGGCGAAGGCGAUUCUCUGGACUGUAACUGACGCUGAGGCACG